CAAAACCUCCUGUCUCAAAUAGAAAGUGGUAGGUGGCCGGUGUAGUAUCCUCCAGGCCCUAGUAAAUAGCCCGUGUCCUUGGGGAAGGGGUAGCUAAGACUGGUUACACUAUUGUAUAAUCUCUUUCACAAUCUGUCCACACCCCACCCCCACCACUGUGCCACAGCCACCGCUCCACCUCAAUGUCUGCACACCUCAGGGUUGGAGGGCCCGUCCCUUGUCUGUCCUUCCUGUUCCUUACUUGUCCUUCACCUCCGCUCCAAGUCGCUUCCCCAGCCUUGCUGCUUUCUCUAAGACCUUGGCUGUGUGGCUGACACAGCACUGCCCGCGGUCCUACUAUUGUUAGAGACCAGUCUUCCCUUUGGAAUCUGUAGCGCUUGAAAACAGGAACUUGAGCCUCACUCUGUCAAGUGUGAUAUUUCGAGUUCUGCCUUACUGCUGGAGGCUGGGAACAGAUUUGAGAAAGGAAGUUCUAACCUCUGGAACCGAGAAGAGGAAGACGGACAAUAAACAAGAGAAAGUAAAAGAUGCCCAAGGCUUCCAUCUGAGCUAUAGGCAUUUGGGAGGCUGAAGCAAGAAGAUCCGGAGUUUGAGGCCAAAUGGAGAAAUUAGUCUGAAGCUCACAGACUUGGCAAGACCAGCUGGCCAGGAAACUUCAGGGAUCCCCAGUCUCGGCCUCUCCAGCACUAGGAAUCCAGGUGCACACUACAAUGCCUGGCUUUUUGUGUGGCUACCAUGGAUCUGAGCUGAAGUCCUUACGCUUGUAUGGCACGCACUUAACCACUGAACCAUCUCCACAGCCCCUGUUUUAGCAUAUCAGCUCUCUUCUGCAUCAGUACCAGAAGGCUCACUAGUCAUCAAAACGAGCAAUAUGACACUCUAUCCUCCUGCUACUCUUUGAGCCACCCUGGAGUACGACGUCCUUUCUGCAGUACUGGAAGAUGAGAUUAUGAGCUGCACCAUCCCACGCUGCACCUCGUGAGCCUGUUCAUCCUGCCUUGUCGCAGAAUCUCACCGUGAGCACAAUUCCAUUGUCUAGAAGUCGAAAGCCUCAGUCCUCGACUAGACAGUUAUUUCAAAUCUCCACCUGCAGAGGCAGAUCUAAGAAGCUGGAAUAAGGAGACAUAAAUCGCCAGAUUUACACCUUAAUUAUUUGGCGCCGUCAGUUGCAAGUUAAGAAAAGAAGCACACAAAAACCUACACGAAAGAAAACAACUUAAAACUGCGGCUUCAUUUUCUAUGAAAUCUUCAUGUUGAAUGAAAGAAAAAGUAGACGUGAAUUUGUCUGUAAGAACUGAACAAAGUGCUUGCCAGUUUUCUCCUUAUGAAGCUGUUCGAAUACAACACCCAUCAUCGGUGAUGAUGGACUCCGAGCUAAGGAGCCAUUACUAGGUUAAGGAUCUCUAAAUGGGUUAUAUCUGCUUGAGAACUUCAAAUGAAACCACACAAAGGCAGUCAAUGUCCUGCAUGCUGACUCUGUAAGGAUUCAGGACUAUGUGCAGAGAUGAGGGAAGGAGAUAAAUGACAUGGCCCGUCCGUUCCAGGGACAUUUACUGAUGUUAUGGCUAAUCCAUGGAUGUCUCCGCUGGCCUUCAAUCAAUGUCCCCAAUAAGUAGUUUCUGAUACCAGUGGGAGAAUGUCUUUGCUAUCUUAGAAUGAGGGCAAACAGGCAAAGGGCAAAAGCUUCCUUCUUCCAUGUCUUGCUACCAGAAGUGUGGUAUCAGGACAUUAAAAGAAUUUGGAGAUAUUCCUAAAUAU